UUCUUAUAGUUCAAUUUUAUAACGGUGGCUUUUCAAGUCACAGAUCUUGGAGAAAUACCAAGUAAGAAU
rnacentral:tRNA from 1 species